rnacentral:rRNA from 1 species
GACGAACGCUAGCGGCGCGCUUGACACAUGCAAGUCGAGCGAGGUGUCUCCUUCGGGAGAUAAUCGAGCGGCGAACGGGCGAGUAACACGUGAGCAAUCUACCCUGGACUCGGGGAUAACCCUGGGAAACCGGGGCUAAUACCGGAUAGCCGUUCUCUUGGGCAUCCGAGGGGACGGAAAGGUACCGGAUCGUGAGGUCCGGUGUCCGAUCCAGAAUGAGCUCGCGGCCCAUCAGCUGGUUGGUGGGGUAAGGGCCUACCAAGGCGACGACGGGUAGCCGGCCUGAGAGGGGGACCGGCCAAACUGGGACUGGGACACGGCCCAGACUCCUACGGGAGGCAGCAGUGGGGAAUCUUGCGCAAUGGGCGAAAGCCUGACGCAGCGACGCCGCGUGGGGGAGGACGGCCUUCGGGUUGUAAACCUCUUUCAGCCCCGACAAAAGUGAUGGUAGGGGCAGAAGAAGCGCCGGCUAACUACGUGCCAGCAGCCGCCGUAAUAC